UAAUAAUUGCAUUGUUAUUUCUUAAUAGCAGUGCUAUGAAUAUGAAAAUAUUUCUCCUCUGAUUGAUUACUAGAAAUUCACUGCUUGGACUCCUAUACCGAGAGAUUUGAUUUUGAUAACAUCUGUGUGUAUUGAUCAUUAAUGAAAAUAUUGAAUAGUGUUGGGCCUAGUACCAGUCCCUGGAACCUGACUAGAAACACCUGCAUUCAGUGAUGAUUCCCCAUUGAUGACUACUUUUUGAGAUCUCAAAGUGACCAGACAUCAGUGAGGAUUCUGUCACAUCUUGGCCAGAUGUCAUACCUCUGCUUUUUCUAUAUAUAUCCCGCCCAGAUUUCAAGACAAAGUUGACUAGAACACAUAGUUUUGUAGUUCUGGAUGAUGAGGGCAAAAUGUUAGCAGAAGCUAUUUCCUUAUUGUUGGCAAGCUCUACUAUCAUGUAAUGGUCACUCAGGCAAUCUGUCUUCAGUUUGAUUUAUCCACCCUUAUUUUGUUGCUCAUUUUAUCAUUUGGAAUUUCUUGUAUUCUUAAUUUGACUGCUUUGCAGAACCCCUUGUAUCAUAAAUUACCUGACUCUGCUUCUCCUCUUAGAUUUAUCCCUCUCUUAUUGAUUUGUCUGGAAUUAUUUAUGGAUAAACUUCUAAAAAGAAUAAGGAAUAGCCACUAGUCUGUUGAAGCGGUGAUUUUUUUCUUUGUAUAAUUUUUCAUUUAUCAGCAUUAGAAAUAUCAAGUGAUAAAGCUAAGAAAGAUGAUCUUAUUAGCAUGAUCAAUGUAACUGUGUGUGUUAAAUGUACUUUAAGAGUUUGCAAUAGGACUCACUACCAAGGAAAGUGAAAAUCAAUAUAAAUAAACAAAUUUCUUUAUGUGAAACAGUUUCUGAUAGUGACAGAUCUUUAGUUAUACAGCAGCAGAUGGGAAACAUUGAUAGUACGGUGGUAAACACUAAUGCACCAAAAUGUGAAAGCUGAUGUUGUCUUUGAUAAUAAAGACCACCCCAAAACUUGCUGCUUGACAUCAUGAAUUAGCUGUUAACUUACUUGACUUUGUGGUAUCAUCUGUAGCAGUGCCAGGAAAUCCUGGCAGUGUGGCUGGAGCACUGCUCUGUUUGUUCAAUCACAGUAAAUCAAAGCACUGCAGCAUCCAUGAGAGAUCGUUCAAUUGUACGAACUUGGAAGAGUUUUGUCUAGUCUUAGGCCUGGUCUACACUAGGACUUUAAUUUGAAUUUAGCAGCGUUUAAUUCGAAUUAACCAUGCA